UCAAACAGCAUAGAGAUAAUUGAGAAGACGAGCAUGGAAAAAUAUGAAGGAAAGAUACACAGAAAAAGGAAAUUUAUAAAGAUCCUACUGGAAGUAUAACAGAAUCUUGGCUAUGAAGACUUUUCAAGAUGUUAUUGUUCAAAGUCUAUGAAACUUCUCUUUCGUGGCAUUUCCCCCUACUUAUACAUACUUGAAUGACUACCAUGAAGAUGUAUUGAAAGUUCUACCACCCUGGAGAGUGCAAUAUCCAUUCAGUGGGUGAUUUUCUUUUCAAAAAAGUUGUUUGCCAGCUCUAAUUUUGAAUGAACACACUAUUCACAAUGGUGAAAACAUCAAUUAAA